rnacentral:rRNA from 1 species
AAAUGAAUUGACGGGGACCCGCACAAGCAGUGGAGUAUGUGGAUUAAUUCGAUGCAACGCGAAGAACCUUACCAAGGCUUGACAUCCUACUGACGAAGUAGAGAUACAUUAGGUGCCCUUAUGGGAAAGUAGAGACAGGUGGUGCAUGGUUGUCGUCAGCUCGUGUCGUGAGAUGUUGGGUUAAGUCCCGCAACGAGCGCAACCCUUGUGGUUAGUUGCUACGCAAGAGCACUCUAACCAGACUGCCGUUGACAAAACGGAGGAAGGUGGGGACGACGUCAAAUCAUCAUGCCCUUUAUGUCUUGGGCCUCACACGUACUACAAUGGCGAGGAACAGAGGGAAGCGAGCCCGCGAGGGUAAGCGGAUCCCGAAAAGUCGCCUCAGUUCAGAUUGCAGGCUGCAACCCGCCUGCAUGAAGUCGGAAUUGCUAGUAAUCGCAGAUCAGCAUGCUGCGGUGAAUACGUUCCCGGGUCUUGUACACACCGCCCGU